AUUUAUAUAUAUAUAAUAAAUAUAUAUAAACGAAGAAAAACAAAAAACAAAAUCACAUGUACAUAAGUACACCUUUGCUCAAUACUUUGUUGAAGCACCAUUGGCACCAAUUACAGCCUCAAGUCUUUUUGACUAUGAUGCUACAAGCUUGGCACACCUAUUUUUGGGCAGUUUCUCCCAUUCUUUUUUGCAGGACCUCUGGUUGGCUGGGGAGCGUUGGUGCACAGCCAUUUUCAGAUCUCUCCAGAGAUGUUUAAUCAGGUUCAAGUCUGGGCUCUGGCUGGGCCACUCAAGGACAUUCACAGAGUUGUCCCAUAGCCACUUCUUUGUUAUCUUGGCUGUGUGCUUAGGGUUGUUGUCCUUUUGGAAGAUGCCCCAGUCUGGGGUCCAGAGCACUCUGGAGCAGGUUUUCAUCAAGGAUGUCUCUGCACAUUGCUGCAUUCAUCUUUCCCUCAGUUCCUGCAGCUGAAUAACAGCCCCACAGCAUGAUGCUGCCACCACCAUGCUUCACUGUAGGGAUGGUAUUGGCCAGGUGAUGAGCGGUGCCUGGUUUCCUUCAGACAUGACGCUUGCUAUUCAGGCCAAAGAUUUCAAUCUUUGUUUCAUCAGACCAGAGAAUUUUGUUUCUCAUGGUCUGAGAGUCCUCCAGGCAGGCUGUCAUGUGCCUUUUACUGAGGAGUGGCUUCCGUCUGGCCACUCUACUACUAUUAGUGGAGUGCUGCAGAGAUGGUUGUUCUUCUGGAAGGUUCUCCUGUCUCCACAGAGAAAUGCUGGAGCUCUAUCAGAGUGACCAUCGGGUUCUUGGUCACCUCCCUAACUAAGGCCCUUCUCCCCUGAUCACUCAGUUUGGCCAGGCGGCCCGCUCUAGGAAGAGUCCUGAUGGUUCCAAACUUCUUCCAUUUACGGAUGAUGGAGGCUACUGUGCUCAUCGGGAUCUUCAAUGCUGCAGAAAUUUUUCUGUACCCUUCCCCCAAUCUGUGCCUCGAUACAAUCCUGUCUUGGAGGUCUGCAGACAAUUCCUUGGACUUUAUAGCUUAGUUUGUACUCUGACAUGCACUGUUAACUGUGGGACCUUACAUAGACAGUUGUGUGCCUUUCCAAAUCAUGUCCAAUCAACUGAAUUUACCACAGGUGGACUCCAAGCAAGUUGCAGAAACAUCUCAAGGAUAAUCAGUGGAAACAGGAUGGAUCUAAGCUCAAUUUUGAGUGUCAUGGCAAAGGCUGUGAAUACUUAUGUACAUAUAAUUUUUUUCAUUUUUUAUUUUUAAUAAAUUUGCAAAGAUUUCAAACAAACUUCUUUCACAUUGUCAUUAUGGGGUAUUUUUUGUAGAAUUUUGAGGAAAAUAAUCAAUUUAAUCCCUUUUGGAAUAAGGCUGUAACAUAACAAAAUGUGGAGAAAGUGAAGCGCUGUGAAUACUUUCCGGAUACACUGUAUAUAGCCCACCCCUAUGAGGACAAAAAAAAAACUUGAACUGAAUUGAGCUGUAUAAUGUCUUCUAUAGAGCUGCUGAACUGAAUUUUAAAUGACACUAUUUCACUGAUCUCUAUAAAUGACUGGAUUGCGUUCUAAACUGCCAGCAGAUGGUGAAGCCACCGGAAGUGUUCGAGCGACCAUAAAUAAAACGAUUCCCUACAAACAGAAGGAAUCAAUAGCCCCUUUCACACAGCAAUCCCAGUAAAUUACCAAAAAAUUACCAGAAUGAUUUUACCGGUAAAUACAUAAAUAUGCUGUUCACACAAGCAACAGCAUUCUAGCUUUUUACCGGUAAGAGACCAUUCACACAUUAGCAGCAAAAUACUCGUAAAUAAUGUGAUGUCAGUCAUCGGAAAUGAUCUUUAAAUGCUGCGCCGUGGUCUUUAUUUGCCCGCAUGAGGAGAAGCACUUUAGUUUUACUAUCUGUUCAAUUUGACAACUUUUUUUUGACGUCUCAGUGGCAGGCUUAACGGGGGAUCAAACAGAAUGCGUUUUUGCUCUUAAAAACACCAGAUGCUCAUAAUAGUAUCCAACUGCAGAGCCACAACACUGAUGAAUGGAAAAGAAGGCAGGGUUUUGAGCGCGACACGUUGAAAAAUCUGCGAGAUGUGGUGCAAUGGUCAAAAAUGAUCAACUAGCGCAUGUUUACAUAGAAAAACUAUUGAAAAGAUUACUGUAAACUGUGCGGAAUAAUCACAUAAUCUCUAUAGUAACUUUAUGAUUGGCUCAAAGAUGACUUCUUACGUCAGCGCGUUCUGAAUUCGUACGUGCUCAUACUGGUAAUCUUCAUUCUGCGUUCACACAGAGCAUAUUUCCAGUAAUUUACUAGCAAUGUUACAACUUCCCUUACUGGUAAAUAGCCAGAACCAAUUUACCGGUAUUUUUGAAAAGGUCCUGUUCACACAUGAUUUCUUACUGGUAAUUAACUGUAAUGUUUAGGCAUAUGGUCUUUUUGGGCAGGAUAAGCGAUAUAUAGCAGGCGUUAAAAUGGGUGUGUCUACUGCCCGCUGCCGACACUGGUAACUGAACUAACACAAAAUAGAUUUAUGUACGGAAUUAUGGAGGAAAUAUUAAGCAUGAACAUAUCUCUAGGAUUAUUAGCAGAAACUGAUUCGAAUUUACAUUAAAUAUUACAAUACAUACAAUACCCUAUUACACUAUAUUACAUUAAAAGGUUCACCUUGCAUCAUCUUGUUUAGAGCAACAGUGUAAAUGCUUGGAAAUAAAGCUUCCAUACACAGUCAGCGUCAUUUCUCUGAAUAAGUUGUGAAGCAUGUAUAUUAUUUCCAGAUGUCUUUUUGUUGACAAACAUCCACUUCAGACUCUUGGAGAUCUUAGAAAACCGUUAAAAAGCCACAGGUCAGCUCAAAUUCUAUGGCUUUUUACUAGCAUGACAGUUUGCGCAUGAAAUAAGUGUUAUAUCAAUGAGCUAAUUCAUUUAACCAACAAUUAAGUUAAUAUCUUUACUGCUUCGAAAUACAUGCUGUUAACGAAAACACUGUUGAAUCAUCACAGUUACUGUAAGAAUAAAAACAGUAUUAUAUAACACAACAAUUACAUAACCACAGUGAAUAACAUAAUUCGUACAUGGCAAAUUAAGUUCAUGCGCAUGCCUUACAAAGCAUAAAUCUGUAUUAAGAUUUCAGAAGAAUCAUUGUGACAUUUGUAAUACAAAUGCUGAGAUGUCUCGUCCGCCAGCUGAUCUGAUAUUUGCUACUGUUUUGAAGAUGAACGUAACUUUUAAUAAGCAGGGAAAUUCCCGACUUUAAACAAAUAACCAUUUAAAUGUUUAACGUUUACGUUGUAAGAAUGUACAGGGUGACUUCAGAUAUAAAAACGCUGACUUGUUAGGUAAUGUUUUCUCAUUAAAAUCAGAUUACUUCCUAAUUAAUUCAACAGAAUGUGAGGGAAUACUAAUAUCACGGCUGGUAAAGUGUGGCUUCACUUUUUAUGAUGUCGUGAGCAAUCCAGUCAUUUAUAUAGAUCAGUGCACUAUUCUCUUUUGCAGAGGUGCUUUAUAGCUGCAUCUAAAGUUGUUUCAUAAUUGAAGAACUUUGCAACAUUGACACUCUUAUUUCCCUGUUUAUUACUGUGAAGCUGCUUUGUAACAAUCAGUAUUGCACUAUAGAAAUAAAUGUGACUUGACUUGAUGUUUCUAUUGCCUUUUUUUUUUUUUUUUUAAACAGUGGCAAGUAAAGAGAAAAUUUAGUUUUGAACUAAAAAUAAAACUAAACAUGCAGGCCUACACUAUUUUAUCUAGAACCUUAGCUACAAAGUCCCAUCUGACAUUCUUAUAUCAAGAAAACUUUAGGGCCAUUUCACAUAGAAUGUGCCACACAGAACCAUUCCACUGCGCUACUUUUCCACUGUUUUUCAAUGUAAACACACACUAGAUGGACAAAUUUGACUGUUGCACUUGUCUUUUGCAUCAUCUAAUGCAUGACACAGUGUCCUAAAAAUGCAGCGCACAAGUUAAAAUAAGUUCAACUUUUAAGAAACGUGUCUUUAGACCCUUUUUUUUCCACUUUACUGAUCUGCAUCUUGCAAAACACGUUCUGUGUGAAUGGUCCUUUACACUUGCUUAUUCUUUUUUUAUUUAAAUAUUUUAGGAUGCCUUUUAUGAGGACAAUUCUUUACACAGAAUUCAGCAUUAAGCAACCUUAAAGAUGAAUUGUAAAACUUCAGCACCACCAUUGCCACCAAAUGGGUUUUCAUAUAGGUCUCCCAAAUAUGCCAAUGAUCAACUUUUGUUUUGACUUUAUUAGAAUCUAAACUGCAGCAAAGAUGCCCAAUCACAUCUGAUCGUGCAUGUAUAACUAGGCAAUCUCAGUGAAUAAUAACAUGGUCAGCCACUAUAGUUCAAUAUAGUUUCUACUUACUGAAUAUGGGACUAGAUCCAGCAGAAAAUUUGAGGAUGCAGAAGUGUCCAUUUAAGAUCUGAGCCCAGUUUCACCCAUGCAUACGUGCCUGCAUGCAUCUUUCUGCAUGCAUGAAUGUGUGUUGAUAUUCGGACAAGUCCCAAUGGAAUAUUUCAGUCAAACAUAUUAUAUUUCAUUCCAAAACACACAGCAGCAGUUGAGCGUCUGGAAAAAAAGACAUCUCAAUGUCGCAUCUGUUUUGACACAAUAGUGGGAGUGGUUCAGGAUGAGGAAGCUCAAUGGGGAGGAGACUGAGACAGAAUAAAAGUGUGAGACAGACACUUGAAAGACAGGUGACCCUACUAAGCUUCUUUGAAUGGCUACCUGGGUGUCUGCAGGCAAGGGUGGGUAGAUUAGAGCCUUACACUGACUGCUGGCUGCGUGCCAUUAUAUGGUUAAUUUUAGCCCUCGUCAUGACUGGAUUACAAGGACAAAGUAUGAAUCAGGGUUACCAUCAAAGGCUGGGAAGAUUAUCAUGGAGCUAAAGUAGAAAGCAGUGUGUGACCGAUCAGCAUCGCCACGAGCACCGCAUGGAUUCACCCACACCUGGACACGACCGAGGGCACUCCUGCAAGCAAGAGCACCCCCACCACUCACGUAUACACUUGUCUUUCAAUAAAAUCCACCCUCCGGGGCCUUAAACUGA